GAAAUUUGGAUUAAUACCUCAUAGUAUUAUGAUAUGGCAUCAUAUGUAUAAUAUAAGUCACAACGGUAAAAGAUGAGCAUGCGUCCCAUUAGCUAGUUGGUAAGGUAACGGCUUACCAAGGCUACGAUGGGUAGGGGUCCUGAGAGGGAGAUCCCCCACACUGGUACUGAGACACGGACCAGACUCCUACGGGAGGCAGCAGUGAGGAAUAUUGGACAAUGGGCGCAAGCCUGAUCCAGCCAUGCCGCGUGCAGGAUGACGGUCCUAUGGAUUGUAAACU
rnacentral:rRNA from 1 species